rnacentral:misc_RNA from 1 species
AGAUAACAUUUAGAUAUCUUCAAACACACCAUCUUAAUUUGUUCAAUAAAAAAAUAUAAGGAGGCACACCACUUGAUAUAGAAUUAAAUAUUGAUGCUAUUUGCUAAAUUCCUUAGGCCAAUUUUAUGAGACAAAUUAAAUAAUAAUUAAUAUAAACCCAAGUUAACCGUCUUCUUAUUUUAAAAGCCCACCUGGACUCCACCUAGAAAUUUUGUUUAAUAUGUUCAAUCUUGAGAUCGAUCUACUGAUGUUGCCAAAAUCAAAGAUGUUCUGUUGACAUAUCAAUAGAGUAUUAAACAUGUAAUAAUGGAUUUUUAACCAGUUCAAAAACAAAUAGUUAUCCAUGAAAAAUCAGUUACAUUUUCAAUAAAUAAAAAUCAAGAUACAUGUAUAUAAUAUAUAGCCCCAUUCCCAACACAAUCCCACAAAAAUACUUUGCAGAAAUAACAGCUUGCAAAGAGAGAGCUUGCAACUUUCAAAGUUAAGUUGAAGGUAACACAUCACUCUACUCUCCACUUUCUUACUCUUCAAAACAGCUUCACAGAAUGCCUUUUGAAGCUUUUCCAUACAAAAUAUGGAUUGUGUAAAUAAAUAG